AUUAAACGCUGGCGGCAUGCCUUACACAUGCAAGUCGAACGGCAGCACGGGGGCAACCCUGGUGGCGAGUGGCGGACGGGUGAGUAAAGCAUCGGAACGUAUCCUGGAGUGGGGGAUAACGUAGCGAAAGUUACGCUAAUACCGCAUAUUCUGUGAGCAGGAAAGCAGGGGAUCGCAAGACCUUGCGCUCUGGGAGCGGCCGAUGUCGGAUUAGCUAGUUGGUGGGGUAAAGGCCUACCAAGGCGACGAUCCGUAGCGGGUCUGAGAGGAUGAUCCGCCACACUGGGACUGAGACACGGCCCAGACUCCUACGGGAGGCAGCAGUGGGGAAUUUUGGACAAUGGGCGCAAGCCUGAUCCAGCCAUGCCGUGUGAGUGAAGAAGGC
rnacentral:rRNA from 1 species